UACGGAGGGGGUUAGCGUUGUUCGGAAUGACUGGGCGUAAAGAGCUCGUAGGCGGUUCGUCGCGUCGGCUGUGAAAACCUGAGGCUCAACCUCAGGCCUGCAGUCGAUACGGGCGGACUUGAGUACUGCAGGGGAGACUGGAAUUCCUGGUGUAGCGGUGAAAUGCGCAGAUAUCAGGAGGAACACCGGUGGCGAAGGCGGGUCUCUGGGCAGUAACUGACGCUGAGGAGCGAAAGCGUGGGGAGCGAACAGG
rnacentral:rRNA from 1 species